AACAAUCAUGAAAUAUUUUUUUUAAUAGUGAUUCCAGUUAAAAAAAUGCUUUCACUAAAAUAUUCAAUAGAUAUGUGAAUAAGAGAAAUGAAUUUAAAUUUGAGAAAUAUAUAUUUAUGUUUAUUUUAAACAAACCUUUAUGUUAAUGAUAGCUUCUUUUUAUUAGAAAAGUAUGAUAUAAUAAAAACCAACGCCAUUGUUUAUUUUGACAUGGAACCCAUAAAGUGUGUUGGUCGACUAAGAUAGCAGGACAAUGGUCAUGAAAGUUGGAAUCCGCUAAACAGUCUGUAACAACUCACCUGCCAAAUCAACUAGCCCCGAAAAUAGAUGGUGCUAAAGACCGCGACCUAUACCCGACCAUCAAGGCAAGCACCAGGCCCCAAUGAGUAGGAGGGCGUGACGGUCGCUGCAAAACCCGGGGUGCGAGUCCGGACGAAGAGUCUGUCGGUGCAGAUCUUGGUAGUGGUAAUAAAUAUUCAAAUGAGAACUUUGAAUGCCAAAGAGGAAAAAUGGUUCAUGUGAACGACACUUCCACAUGAGUUAGUCAAUCCUAAGAGACAGGGGAAGCCCGUCCGACAACGCGUUUGUUUGCGAGUUUCAAAAGGGACUCAGGUUAAAAUUCCUGAGUGGGGACGUGGCGGCUGAUGAUAACGUUAAGGAGUUCGGAGACAUCAACGGGUGCCUUAGGAAGAUUUAUAUUUUCUAUUUAACAACUCGCUCAUCCUGGAAUUGACUUAAUCGAAGAUACGGUCCAACGGCUAGAAGAGCACCGCGCAUCGCGUGGUGUUCGGUGCGCCCCUAACAGGCCUAAAAAUCCAGAGGCUUGUUUAUGAUUGGUUUGUUUAAAAGUGGAUUUAGUAUAUAUAUAUAAAAAAAAAUGGUUCCUUGU
rfam:Populus trichocarpa scaffold_18_contig_198, whole genome shotgun sequence.